rnacentral:misc_RNA from 1 species
AAGUCGUAACAAGGUCUCCGUAGGUGAACCUGCGGAGGGAUCAUUAAGAUGCGCACAGCCUCUGCGCGCGGCGGCCCACCAGCUGCCGCACGCACGCCUUGCAUCCUCGAUAUUACAGCACCUUGCGUUCUCCUUCGGCGGGUCGACCCGCCGUCGGAACCAAAACAUUCACCUGUGAGUGGUAAAGGAUGUGUGAGGAUGGUCCGGCCUCUGCAAUGUAGAACCCAACCCUGGCAGUUGGCGGCCGCAUGUCAUGCUGGACCUCUGGUCGUUGGGAUUUCCCCCUCGACCCCCUUCCUUUGCUCGCAGCAAUACCCGUUCCGAAACAAACAAUCGUUACAACUUUCAACAAUGGAUCUCUUGGCUCUG